AAAUGUAAAACUUGCUGCAGUAUCUUUUAAAACAGCAGCAAAAACAGCUGACGAUAAAAUCUCCUCCAUUGCCCUCACCACCAGCUUCCACUGCAAGACCACUUGUUCCUUCCAGUACUGCCUCUGAUCAGCCUGUGAUGGAGGAGGAUGAAGAACUGGAGAGGAUGAUGCUGAGUCUUUCUCCAACAAAAUAUCUCACACAGCUGAGAUCAUCUGCAGCCACGGGAGCCACAGUCUUAUCUACAGCAGUGUUCUUGCCUGUUCUAUGUUCUUUUGUUAUAACUACUGUUAAGGGUUGAACAUACCAGUGGUGAGGGU